rnacentral:rRNA from 1 species
UGAGUAAUGUCUGGGAAACUGCCUGAUGGAGGGGGAUAACUACUGGAAACGGUAGCUAAUACCGCAUAACGUCGCAAGACCAAAGAGGGGGACCUUCGGGCCUCUUGCCAUCAGAUGUGCCCAGAUGGGAUUAGCUAGUAGGUGGGGUAAUGGCUCACCUAGGCGACGAUCCCUAGCUGGUCUGAGAGGAUGACCAGCCACACUGGAACUGAGACACGGUCCAGACUCCUACGGGAGGCAGCAGUGGGGAAUAUUGCACAAUGGGCGCAAGCCUGAUGCAGCCAUGCCGCGUGUGUGAAGAAGGCCUUCGGGUUGUAAAGCACUUUCAGCGAGGAGGAAGGUGGUGAGCUUAAUACGCUCAUCAAUUGACGUUACUCGCAGAAGAAGCACCGGCUAACUCCGUGCCAGCAGCCGCGGUAAUACGGAGGGUGCAAGCGUUAAUCGGAAUUACUGGGCGUAAAGCGCACGCACGCGGUUUGUUAAGUCAGAUGUGAAAUCCCCGGG